AGAGAGUGUUUGCUCGGACUGUUUGACGGGGUUUGUUAGAUCGUUAAGGAUCUGUUAAGCCAUUAGCUUAUUAUAACAAAAUAUCUAGUUAUUUGAAAAUCGUGGGUCAUUCAUUCACGUAGAGACUAGCUGUUGUGUAGCUGGGAAACAGCUAUAGCAAGACUGGAUAGUUAAUUGAUUCAGCAUAUUUGAUUCUGGGUUACAUCGGUUCAAGACUGACGUUUGUGCAUG
rnacentral:lncRNA from 1 species